rnacentral:rRNA from 1 species
UCCGGUUGAUCCUGCCAGAGGCAACCGCUAUUGGAAUACGUUUAAGCCAUGCGAGUCGAGAGACUUUGGGUCUCGGCAAACUGCUCAGUAACACGUGGAUAACCUGCCCUCCGGAGGAGAAUAAACUCGGGAAACUGAGACGAAUACUCCAUAGGUUUUACAGGCUGGAAUGCAGUAAAACCAAAAGCUCCGGCGCCGGAGGAUGGGUCUGCGGCCUAUCAGGUUGUAGUGGGUGUAAAGGACUCACUAGCCGCCGACGGGUACGGGCCUUGGGAGAGGUCGCCCGGAGAUGGACUCUGAGACACGAGUCCAGGCCCUACGGGGCGCAGCAGGCGCGAAAACUUCGCAAUGCGGGAAACCGCGACGAGGGUAUUCCAAGUGCUAUUGCAAUGCAAUAGCUUUUUAAAAGCCUAAAAAGCUUUUAGAAUAAGGGCUGGGUAAGUCUGGUGCCAGCCGCCGCGGUAAUACCAGCAGCUCAAGUGGUGGUCGAUAUUAUUGAGCCUAAAGCGUCCGUAGCCGGACGGGUAAAUUCUUGGGUAAAUCGAACAGCUCAACUGUUCGACUUCCGGGAAGACUGCCCGUCUUGAGACUGGGAGAGGUCGGAGGUACUCUAGGGGUAGGGGUGAAAUCCUGUAAUCCUUAGAGGACCACCAGUGGCGAAGGCGUCCGACUAGAACGGGUCUGACGGUGAGGGACGAAGCCCAGGGGCGCGAACCGGAUUAGAUACCCGGGUAGUCCUGGGUGUAAACGCUACAGAUUUGGUGUUGGGGGUUCCAUGAGAGCGCCCAGUGCCGGAGAGAAGUUGUUAAAUCUGUCGCUUGGGGAGUACGGUCGCAAGACUGAAACUUAAAGGAAUUGGCGGGGGAGCACAGCAACGGGUGGAGCGUGCGGUUUAAUUGGAUUCAACACCGGAAAACUUACCGGGAGCGACGGUUAUAUGUGGGCCAGGCUGGUGACCUUGCCUGAAUUUCCGAGAGGUGGUGCAUGGCCGCCGUCAGUUCGUACUGUGAAGCGUUCUGUUAAGUCAGAUAACGAACGAGAUCCCUGCUUCUAAUUGCUAUCUUUCUCUCCGGAGAUUGAGCACAUUAGAGGGACCGCUGGCGCUAAGUCAGAGGAAGGGGGGGGCAACGGUAGGUCAGUAUGCCCCGAAUCUCCCGGGCUACACGCGCGCUACAAAGGCCGGGACAAUGGGUCCCCACCCCGAAAGGGGGAGGUAAUCCUGAAACCCGGUCAUAGUUCGGAUUGAGGACUGUAACCCGUCCUCAUGAAGCUGGAAUCCGUAGUAAUCGCGUUUCAAAAAACCGCGGUGAAUAUGCCCCUGCUCCUUGCACACACCGCCCGUCAAACCAUCUGAGUUGGGUCUAAGUGAGGACACCUCGCUAUGGGAUGUUCGAACUUGGGUUCAGCAAGGAGGGUUAAGUCGUAACAAGGUAGCC